rnacentral:rRNA from 1 species
GGCUCACCAAGGCGACGACGGGUAACGGGACUGAGAGGUUGGCCCGCAACAUCGGGACUGAGACACUGCCCGGACCUCCACGGAGGGCUGCAGUAACGAAUAUUGGGCAAUGAGCGAAAGCUUGACCCAGCGACGCCGCGUGUAGGAGGAAGUCUUUCGGGAUGUAAACUACUGUCAGGGGGACGAAAGUGCGCUUCGGUGCAUUGAUCGAACCCAGAGGAAGUCACGGCUAACUUCGUGCCAGCAGCCGCGGUAAGACGAAGGUGGCAAGCGUUGUUCGGUAUUACUGGGCUUAAAGCGUGUGUAGGCGGAAGCGUAAGCGUUUUGUGAAAUCCCUCGGCUUAACCGAGAAAUUGCUUGGCGAACUGCGUUUCUUGAGGCAGGUAGGGUGCGCAGAACUCUUGGUGGAGCGGUGGAAUGCGUAGAUAUCAAGAGGAAUGCCGGUGGAGAAGUCGGUGCACUGGGCCUGACCUGACGCUGAGACACGAAAGCGUGGGGAGCGAACGGGAUUAGAUACCCCGGUAGUCCACGCCGUAAACGAUGCCUACUAGGUUGUGGUGGUUCUGACGCCAGCACAGCCGAAGCUAAAGUGUUAAGUAGGCCGCCUGGGGAGUACGGUCGCAAGGCUAAAACUCAAAGGAAUUGACGGGGGCUCACACAAGCGGUGGAGCAUGUGGAUUAAUUCGAAGCAACGCGCAGAACCUUACCAGGGUUUGACAUGCUUGGAUGCCGCCGAGGAAAUUCGGUUAGGCUGCCUUCGGGUGAAACUUGCACAGGUGCUGCAUGGCUGUCGUCAGCUCGUGUCGUGAGAUGUCGGGUUAAGUCCCUUAACGAGCGAAACCCUUGCCGCUAGUUGCCAGCGAGUCAUGUCGGGGACUCUAGCGGGACUGCCGGUGUUAAACCGGAGGAAGGUGGGGAUGACGUCAAGUCAUCAUGGCCUUUAUGCCCUGGGCUUCGCACGUGCUACAAUGGUCAGAACAGAGCGACGCAAGACCGUGAGGUGGAGCAAAUCGCAAAAAUCUGGCCCCAGUUCGGAUUGCAGGCUGGCAACUCGCCUGCAUGAAGGUGGAAUCGCUAGUAAUCGCGUAUCAGCGAUGACGCGGUGAAUGUGUUCCUGAGCCUUGUACACACCGCCCGUCAAGUGAUGGGAGUUGGGAGUACCCGAAGUCGUCUUGCUAACCCCUCGGGGAGGCGGAUGCCGACGGUAAGCCCGAUGACUGGCACUAAGUCGAAACAAGGUA